CCUUAAAGCGUUACACAGCCAGAGAUUGAUGUUGUCUUCUGCAGGAUCUUUUUGGCAGUCCGGGAGGAACGAGGUUUACCAGCUUAGUUAAAAAGAAGAUUCACAAAAAUGUGUAUCGAAUAAGUUUAUUCACAAUCGAAGGGGCGUAUUAAAAAAUCCAGUAAUCUUUAGUUCAAGCGUUUAUUUGAAUUUUGAUCAUUUUACAUAGUUCCGAUACGAGUCGGAGUGAUACCGAAGGUGUAGAUAAGAAAACUUUUAAAUCUCUCCAGUACAUUGCCAAUAUGAACAGCGACAGCGCCGUUAACGAAAUCGCAGAUCCUGGGUGCGAACCUGGAAAAAACCAAUCGUCUGCUGUCUGGGAUAACUUGCCCGAAGAUUCAAAUAUCACUAACAGAGAAAACCAGCAACUAUUUAACCACAUCGAAACUGGAGUUAGCACUGAAGGGAGUAAAAGCCCUAAUGCAGCAGACGUAACGCUUUACGAAGAUGAUUCUGGUGAAGUGGACUGGGACGGACCAGGUUUCCUCUCGUUUCUAUGGCUUAAUAUUGUACACUCAAUCUCGCAUUUUUUGUGGGGGUUUCCUGAACUAUUUUUUACUACUACUGGGUUUUGGAGAUGGUUCCGUUUGAUUGUCCAUUUCGGUAUAUUCACUGUCGUUCUGGCUAUAGCCGAUACCAUAUGUUACGCAUACGUUAUUUGGAGCCUUUGGCUGGAUUCCCCCUCUUCUCUUAAUUCGUACAUGCUAAUGUUUAUCACGGUAGUGCCGUUAUUUCCUACCGCUGUUUCUGCCCUGGAGUUUUUAAACUUAGGAGAUUGCGCAGUAGCCUCUUAUCUUAACUGGCACCUGGCACGCCAAACAUUAAUUAAACUGGGCGACCCCACCGUGUUUUCCAAAUGCCUUGCAAGGGACGAAUCCGAAGAAGUUAUGUUAGCGAAAUGGGGUGACCCGACCGUAAUCUCAAAAUGCCUUGCAAACGAUGAACCCGAGCAAAGAGUGCCAAAAAUACUAGAGAUCGGACUGAUUACGCUCUUCCCAUACCGGCCAAGGAAGAAAUCUGAAGAAUUUUUGUACACGUUACCGUACAUGGAGCACCAAUUCCUUCGGAAUCCGUUCCUAUGGCCAAGAAAACAGCUUCUUCCUAUGGAAUUCUUCGCUCGAUGCCGGAUGUUUGUUCGAGCUUGGAAAGCCGAUCUAAGCGUCUCACCAUAUACACCAAAUAGGAACAUCGAAUAUCAAGACAUACAUCUCCAAAACGUGCAUUUGAAAGCAAUAAAGUACGGAUCAAGCAUUCAGCUUGCCGUUCUGUUGCUGCUGACGAUGACAGGAGCGCUUCCUCUUACAGUUGCAAGUGGGACGUCGGUGGCGUUAUCGAUCUUAUCAAUACUCAAAUAUUUCCCUUCGUGUGAGCAACUUCCUGGAAACUCUGCCUUUAGCAAGAGUCUUCUGCGCGAAAAGGAAUUUAUUACUUUAUCUGAGGCAAACCAACUGCUGCAGCCAAACAUGGCCAUUAUAUAUGGACUGCUGAACAAUUUUUUGUACAUGAUAUGUCGAUAUCAUAUCACCAUGUUAUUACUAGUGCAAAACUGGCAGGCUGCGUUUGGUGUAGCGCUGAUACAAUGCUCAGUUGUAUCUGUUGUCGUAAUUCGACGUUUCCGCCACCUAAAGUCACCGUAUCAGAUGCGUAUUGUAACAAGGGAAAAGGAUAAUAUUUAUCGGCCAACAAUCUGGCAAGCGUGGAAGAGAAAAUCGACAACUGCUAUGCUUUUUGCGACCAAAUAUCAGCGACUCUGUUUCAUUUUGUAUUGCUUCCGGUUUCCUCAACCACAACGAAAACUGGAUGCCUGCUGGGUACUGUUCUACAAGCAGUUGCUAUCCUUGGUUACCUUUUCGAUGUUUGGUUAAACUCAAAAAUAAUGCCUGUCAAAGCCGAAAAGGAAACGCUUUACAGCGAUCCCGCGCGUCAAAUGUAUGAUCCUGUUUUCGACACCUUGCUCAUUAUCAACUGUGUCAUAUCUUUUGUGCUGCUGCCUUUGUCACAUUUCAAACUGGACGGUUGCAUUGAUGCCGAUCGGUGGAUUCGUCAUCGAAAUAAUUGCGGAAAAUGUUCAGCUUUACAGAUUUCGAAAAGCGGUUUUGCACCAAUCUACCCUGCUGGCUGUGUGAAUUCUCCUGGUCUACCAAACAUUUUAACUUGUGUUGCUACGAUAAAGUGUCCCCAUCUUAUAUGCCACCAGAGGCCAACAAGAUACUUUCUCCUGUGCCUUUUUUCGCAACAAGUUUGCCACAAGAGGGAUUUCGCCACAAGAGGGAUUUUGCCGUACUUGACGCAAAGACCGCGCAUGGCCUGGAGCUUUCAACUGGUGCAUCCGAGCUGCUGUGUCACUCUCACAAGGCAGAAUAUCGACAGCGACCUGCCCCGAACAGAACUGAUUCUGACGUGGAUUUUCGCGCUAGCUGGACUUCAUCAAAAACUGUAACCUCUUUUCUACAACAGAUCUAUACGCCAAAUGCGUUGCCACUACAAUUGUGGUUCAGAGCGGUGAUGUGCGAUCAAGGGGUAACGGAUCGGCAUGUUCAGAACGAAUACUGGUUGCUACUGAAACAAAUCAGGGAAGAACACAAAUCAUGUGGCCAGGAAUGCGUGCUAAACAGAGGAUUUAUAACCAUAUCGCAGCAACUAAGAAUGGUUAUUAGAAAGCUGGAUUCGCAAGCGGGUAGCAGUUGGCAGAACUUGACCUUCACCCUGGACAAAGAGUCGCCCCACUGCAUGGCGUUUGCCCAGUUUUUCUUCCUCCACCACGGCGAGCAAUUUCCUCGCUGGCCCGCUCGAAAGUGUCCCGGUCUGAAAGCGUCUGAAAUUCGUUUGGAUGCAACUGAAAGCGCUAAUUCCAUUUAGAUGAAACGCUUUUAGCGAUAUUUGUCAAAAUAUAGCACUGUAUUUUGUCAGUCUCGAUAAGGAUAAGUCGCCACAUGUAGUUCAACUGACCUUAUUUGACCAGCCAGUCGUUUGCAAUUGGUUUCGGCAAAAAAUGAUUUAAUUUG